UACGAAGGGUGCAAGCGUUAUUCGGAUUCACUGGGCGUAAAGGGUGCGCAGGCGGCCAUAUGUGUCAGGUGUGAAAGCCCGAGGCUUAACCUCGGAAUUGCGCCUGAAACUAUGUGGCUAGAGUACUGGAGAGGGUAGCGGAAUUCAUGGUGUAGCAGUGAAAUGCGUAGAUAUCAUGAGGAACACCAGAGGCGAAGGCGGCUACCUGGACAGUUACUGACGCUCAGGCACGAAAGCGUGGGGAGCAAAAGGG
rnacentral:rRNA from 1 species